AUAAAUUUGCUCGAUUGCGACGCCGUAUAAUAAUUAGUCACGUGGCCUCGAUGACGCCUUAUUUCUAUGUCGAAAAAAAUCAUCAGGACCCAAAACUAACCGUUGUUAAAUUUUAUGAGGUUUUUUUUUAAUUUUUAGCUCCUACAUAAUUUUAUAUCUUUAAGCCAACGGGGUUUCGUCAGUGACUUCCUUAAUCUGUCUGUCUUAUUUAACCAUAAGCCAUAAACUAGACAAAAAAAAGAUUUGUAUCAAUAGACAUAAUAACGACAGAGGAUUAUAUAUAAACAUAUAUUUGCGAAAUUAAAAAAAAAACUGUCUCUGACCUCGAGGGCCCUCUUAAUUCUCAGGCAAUUCAUCUUAUUUGCCAGAGGGCCUUCGUUUUUGUGGAUGAUCAAAUCGAUUGUAGACCUUGGAUACACUCUGGCGAACGUGUGAGCACAUCCGGUCGUAAUCCACCUAAAAUCUGCCGAGCCACAU